GCAAGUCGAAUGGGUUUAGACCCAUGGCAGACGAGGUAGGAACACGUAGGUACAAACCCCAAAGUCAGGGAUAACCCGGUGAAAAUCGGAAUAAUACUUGAUAGUCUCUUCGGAGUAAAGAUUUAUCGCUUUGGGAUUGGCCUGCGUUCUAUCAGCUUGAUGGUAAGGUAACGGCUUACCAUGGCUACGACGGAUAGGGGAGGUGAGAGCCUGACC
rnacentral:rRNA from 1 species